GUGUCGUACGUGGCAGCUUUCCUCAUAGGGCUCUUCUCCCUGGAGAGCACCAGAGCAGCUCCAUUGGAGUCUGGAAGUGUAAACACCGGCAACGUUGGAGAUGGCAGCUUUGACGACAACAGCCAAAACAACCAGUUCUGGUCAGUGGACUCCGGAAGUGUAAAGACCGGCAACGUUGGAGACGGCAGCUUUGACGACAACA